UACGGGGGGGGCAAGCGUUGUUCGGAAUUACUGGGCGUAAAGGGCUCGUAGGUGGCCAACUAAGUCAGACGUGAAAUCCCGAGGCUCAACCUCGGGUCUGCAGUCGAUACGAGCAAACUAGAGUGUUGCAGGGGAGACUGGAAUUCCUGGUGUAGCGGUGAAAUGCGCAGAUAUCAGGAGGAACACCGGUGGCGAAGGCGGGUCUCUGGGCAACAACUGACGCUGAGGAGCGAAAGCGUGGGGAGCGAACAGG
rnacentral:rRNA from 1 species